AGAGGGUGCGAGCGUUAAUCGGAAUUACUGGGCGUAAGGGGUGCGUAGGUUGAUUAAUAAGUUGGAUGUAAAAUCCCCGGGCUUAACCUGGGCAUGUCAUUCAAAACCGUUAAUCUAGAGUACAGUAGAGGGAAGUGGAAUUUCCGGUGUAGCGGUGAAAUGCGUAGAUAUCGGAAGGAACACCAGAGGCGAAGGCGACUUUCUGGACUGUAACUGACACUGAGGCACGAAAGCGUGGGGAGCGAACAGGAUUAGAUACCCUGGGUAGUCCACGCUGUAAACGAUGAAAACUAGCCGUUGGUGGCGCAAGCCCAUCAGUGGCGCAGCUAACGCAUUAAGUUUUCCGCCUGGGGAGUACGGCCGCAAGGCUA
rnacentral:rRNA from 1 species